AUCUAAGGAAGGCAGCAGGCGCGCAAAUUACCCAAUCCUAAUACAGGGAGGUAGUGACAAGAAAUAACAAUACAGGACUUUAAAAAGUUUUGUAAUUGGAAUGAGUUAAGUAUAAACCCCUUUACAAGUAUCAAUUGGAGGGCAAGUCUGGUGCCAGCAGCCGCGGUAAUUCCAGCUCCAAUAGCGUAUAUUAAAGUUGUUGCAGUUAAAAAGCUCGUAGUUGGAUUUCUGUUAAUAAUUUAUAUAUAAUAUUUUAAUAUAUUUAUAUAAUAUUAACAUAAUUCAUAUUACUAUUAAUAAUAGUAUAUGAAAUUUUACUUUGAGAAAAUUAGAGUGCUUAAAGCAGGUAUAUUGCCUUGAAUACUUCAGCAUGGAAUAAUAAUAAGGAUUUUUAUCUUUUUUAUUGGUUCUAAGAUAAAAAUAAUGAUUAAUAGGGACAGUUGGGGGCAUUUGUAUUUAACAGUUAGAGGUGAAAUUCUUAGAUUUGUUAAAGACAAACUAAUGCGAAAGCAUUUGCCAAGGAUGUUUUCAUUAAUCAAGAACGAAAGUUAGGGGAUCGAAGACGAUCAGAUACCGUCGUAGUCUUAACCAUAAACUAUGCCAACUAGAGAU
rnacentral:rRNA from 1 species